GAUGAACGCUGGCGGCGUGCCUAAUACAUGCAAGUCGAGCGAACGGACGAGAAGCUUGCUUUUCUGAUGUUAGCGGCGGACGGGUGAGUAACACGUGGAUAACCUACCUAUAAGACUGGGAUAACUUCGGGAAACCGGAGCUAAUACCGGAUAAUAUUUUGAACCGCAUGGUUCAAAAGUGAAAGACGGUCUUGCUGUCACUUAUAGAUGGAUCCGCGCUGCAUUAGCUAGUUGGUAAGGUAACGGCUUACCAAGGCAACGAUGCAUAGCCGACCUGAGAGGGUGAUCGGCCACACUGGAACUGAGACACGGUCCAGACUCCUAAGGGAGGCAGCAGUAGGGAAUCUUCCGCAAAGGGCGAAAGCCUGACGGAGCAACGCCGCGUGAGUGAUGAAGGUCUUCGGAUCGUAAAACUCUGUUAUUAGGGAAGAACAUAUGUGUAAGUAACUGUGCACAUCUUGACGGUACCUAAUCAGAAAGCCACGGCUAACUACGUG
rnacentral:rRNA from 1 species